rnacentral:rRNA from 1 species
AGAGUUUGAUUCUGGCUCAGAUUGAACGCUGGCGGCGUGCUUAACACAUGCAAGUCGAACGUGAAAGUCCUUCGGGAUGAGUAAAGUGGCGCACGGGUGAGUAACGCGUGGAUAAUCUACCCUUAAGAUGGGGAUAACGGCUGGAAACGGUCGCUAAUACCGAAUACGCUCCCGAUUUUAUCAUUAGGGGGAAAGAUGGCCUCUGCUUGCAAGCUAUCGCUUAAGGAUGAGUCCGCGUCCCAUUAGCUCGUUGGCGGGGUAACGGCCCACCAAGGCGACGAUGGGUAGCCGGUCUGAGAGGAUGACCGGCCACACUGGAACUGGAACACGGUCCAGACUCCUACGGGAGGCAGCAGUGGGGAAUAUUGCGCAAUGGGCGAAAGCCUGACGCAGCGACGCCGCGUGAGGGAUGAAGGUUCUCGGAUCGUAAACCUCUGUCAGGGGGGAAGAAACCCCCUCGUGUGAAUAAUGCGAGGGCUUGACGGUACCCCCAAAGGAAGCACCGGCUAACUCCGUGCCAGCAGCCGCGGUAAUACGGAGGGUGCAAGCGUUAAUCGGAAUCACUGGGCGUAAAGCGCACGUAGGCGGCCCGGUAAGUCAGGGGUGAAAUCCCACAGCCCAACUGUGGAACUGCCCUUGAUACUGCCGGGCUUGAGUACCGGAGAGGGUGGCGGAAUUCCAGGUGUAGGAGUGAAAUCCGUAGAUAUCUGGAGGAACACCGGUGGCGAAGGCGGCCACCUGGACGGUAACUGACGCUGAGGUGCGAAAGCGUGGGUAGCAAACAGGAUUAGAUACCCUGGUAGUCCACGCCGUAAACGAUGAGUGCUAAGU